UACGUAGGGUGCGAGCGUUGUCCGGGAAUUAUUGGGCGUAAAGAGCUCGUAGGCGGUGUGUCGCGUCGGAUGUGAAAGCCCGGGGCUUAACCCCGGGUCUGCAUUCGAUACGGGCAGACUGGAGUGUGGUAGGGGAGAUCGGAAUUCCUGGUGUAGCGGUGAAAUGCGCAGAUAUCAGGAGGAACACCGGUGGCGAAGGCGGGUCUCUGGGCCGAUAUUGACGCUGAGGAGCGAAAGCGUGGGGAGCAAACAGG
rnacentral:rRNA from 1 species